GAGUUCUGAAUUGUUGGCAAAGCUCUCUGUUAUUCCCACAAAGUGUAAAUAUGUUCUGGAUUCUUAAUCGUCUGGAAGAGGCUGAAUCUUUCACAUUCGCAUACUCAUUUACUGGUCCUGAAACUGAGGGCCUAUCUUUCACAUUCUCAUACUCAUUUAAUGGUCCUGAAACUGAAUGCCUAUCUUCUGAACCAUCCUUGAGUGCCUCAAACUUCAGAGGAGAAGAUAUCAAGGAGCCAGCACCAAAAUUGAU
rnacentral:lncRNA from 1 species